AUUGUGUGUUCAGUCAGAUGUCUGUUAGAAGGAGGAAGUCAGUUCAGUCUCAAAGAUUUAUCACAGCUCUGAGGAUGUCGAGGACUGUUGCCUGUCUGUUCUGUGUCUUAAAACUGUGUGUUGGAGCUGAGGCUUUGACAGAGACACUGGUAGAACUUGGACACAAUGCAACACUGAACUGUUCCCUUAAAACUGUAACUGAUGCACAUUGGUACCUACAUCGCCAACCACAGCCUCCACUGGCCAUACUUCGCUCUUUCACUAGUAGGAGUCCUGAUGCUUUUUAUUACAAUAAGAAUUAUAGACAGAAAUAUUCAUUAGAAACAGGACAUAGAUUGUUAAUACAGAAUGUAACAGUAGAUGAUUGUGGAGUGUAUUACUGUGCAAAGAAAGAAAACAAUAGUUUCCUUUUCAGUAACGGCACCAGACUCAUGACCCCUGUUGAUCCUGAAGCAACAGAGCAACCCAGAGACUUCAACACAACAUGGCUAAAGGGUCUUCUCAUUGGAUCCGCGGUCUUGAAUGCAGUGCUCAUUUUAUUGGUGUCAGCCAUUUCAGUGCUGUGGAAGAGAGUUGCUUGCCAGAAGAACCAUGACUCUCCUCCAACCCCUGAACCACCUGAAAGGACAGACAGUCUAGAGUAUGAAGUGAUACAGCUGGUACCCCAAGCGAGAGGACUAAGGCCCGACCACAUAGCCUCAACUAUUUACUCAAGAGUCCAGUUUCCAAAUCAUGAACUCACAACUACUACUUAAUAAGGUGCCAAAUCUUGACUUUGAUGGAUAAUGUGAACUAGAAAAUGACUUUGGAAGAUAAAGUGAAUCUACUCAUAAUAUUCAUAUUUUUGUGUAAUGUAUUUAGUGGUGCUCUUCGUCACUAUCGUCUAUAUACCAGUCAGCAAUAUCUUUGAAGGAAAUAUCUUUGAAGGAAAUUAUUACUUUUGUGUCUUGAUUCAUGUUUUUCAUUUUUCAUUGCUGGAAAUAAGUUCAUAUUUGCCUGUCUUGAAAGUAAACUGUUACUUUUUUUGUGAAGCAGUUAGGAAGAGGUUUGUGCAUUUCUGUAGAAAAAGCCCCCAAGCCUUUUGUAGUGUAUUGAUGCUGCAUCAACCACACAUAUCCUGUUUGUGAGCUAAGUUACAUGUCCCAAUUAUUGUACAAUAAACCAUUUUUCAUGACUUGUACAAGCUUUCAAUUAGUUCAUUAGAAAGCCUACUUCAUGUGCCCCACAACACCUUUCUGAGUAGAAGGUAGUGUCACAACUUCUGCCGAGGUCGGUCCCGCUCCUUGUUCGGGCGGCGUUCGGCGGUUGACGUCACCGGUCUUCUAGCCAUCGUCGCUCAACCUUUCAGUUUCCAUUUCUUUUGUCUUGUUUACCUGGUUCACAUUCCCUCAUCAUAUUAAAUGUAUAUUACCAUCUGUUUCCCCCAUGUCUGUGUGUGGAAUUGAUCUUUGUGUAGGGUGUUACGCUACAGGCUGGCUUGCGCUAGGUUUGUUUGUUUUGUUUAACCCGGUUCAUGUUUUCAAUAGCUUUUCUUGCUCUGCCAGAGAUGCCAGAGAUGAAUUGACAAUCACCACUUCCUCUUUGCACAGACUUGCGCUUCAUGUGGAAACUUUAA